GAUUACCGGAUAUGUAACAGACGUGGAACACGCCGGAUUUGCUCAUGGAUCACAAGUGAAAGAAGGAGAAAACUCAGGGAUGCAUUCAAAGCAGAGAACCAUAGAAUGGCAAGAAUCGUGGGACGUGUAAAUGAUACCAUGAAGGGAGUGAGCGAUGGACCAGAGCAAGAAUAAUUUCUCUCUGCAAAGAUGAAGGAAUGAAUGAAUACAUGAAGAAAUCUGUCCUUCUGUGUGGAUCCAAUCCUGGAAAUGAAUAUUUUGCUGCAUAAGACAUGAAAAGAGACAGACACGAGGAACAUUCUGUGGGAAAGAUUUUACCAGAGCUGGGAUGGCUUCAUAGGUAUGCACGUGCAACAGGACAAGAGAAGGAAAUUCAAGACUCAGUGAAAAUCAACAGUUUAAAGUAGCCAGCAUUGCUGCGGAUUAUAUGGCCGGAGAACCCAAAUCGCUCCUUUCAAGUCAAGUCCUGGGGUAAUUCGCACGGCUUCCUUCAAAGACUAAUUCAUUUAACACGGAACAGUACGGUUCAGAGCUGAAGUAAUAGUUAACAUAUUGCUUAACUCUAGCCUGGACUGUUCUUAACACUCAUAUCCUCUUUAUUAAAGGAUUGCUAGAGAGUCUGAAGCAAA